AAAAAUAGGAAAAGAAAAGAGAAGAAAAAUAGAAAAGAAGCCCUUAACUAUUAUUUACUUCACAUUUUAUUUUUUAAUUUCGUCUUUUUUUUUUUUCCUUUCUUUCACAAC
rnacentral:ribozyme from 13 species